UCCAUACAGUAACCUAUUUUACAUCAACAUCAUUUGGUCUCUGUAGGAUAGUUGUCUCGCAUCUCUUCAUUUCAUAACAAAUCAAUUUGUAGGUUCUAUAAAGUGGGCCGAUGACGAAGGUAAGGGAAAUUUUGACUGCCAACUGAGAGGAGGAUAUGUUGGCCAGAAAUUAAGCCUUGCAACAGGCCACCUACUGACCCCUCAAAGACUUGUGGCAAGGGUUCUUUAACAUGCAGAGUGGCACUGUCCCUACACAUAGGAACUAUAUACUUUUUAAAUUGCCAUUCCAAUUUUUUGUUUGUUUUAAAAAUGAUAACUUUAGAAGACUUUAAGGCGGGGGUCAUAAAAAAUAUUACAAUAAUCCCACCUUUUACACCACCCUCAAUGUUUAUUAUCUAGAACUCUCUUUACAAACAGUUUUGUUUUCAUAUCAUUUUUUGGUAUUUUCAUUUUUUAUAUUUUUUUUUUAUAUUUUUUUACAGAGUUUUGUUUUCAUAUCAUUUUUUGGUAUUUUCAUUUUUUAUAUUUUUUUACAGAGCUCUAGAUAAUAAAAAUAUCAGAUGUUUAAGGUUACAGGUAUUAACAAAGUCAUUCUAAUUCAGAAUAUUGCAAAAUUUUAAUGUUAGUUGAUUUUCUCAAUUUGUUGAAGUCCAUACAGUAACCUAUUUUACAUCAACAUCAUUUGGUCUCUGUAGGACAGUAAUGUCUCACAUCUCUUCUUUUCAUAACAAAUCAAUUUGUAGGUUCUAUAAAGUGGGCCGAUGAUGAAGGUAAGGGAAAUUUUGACUGCCAACUGAGAGGAGGAUAUGUUGGCCAGAAAUUAAGCCUUGCAACAGGCCACCUACUGACCCCUCAAAGACUUGUGGCAAGGGUUCUUUAACAUGCAGAGUGGCACUGUCCCUACACAUAGGAACUAUAUACUUUUUAAAUUGCCAUUCCAAUUUUUUGUUUGUUUUAAAAAUGAUAACUUUAGAAGACUUUAAGGCGGGGGUCAUAAAAAAUAUUACAAUAAUCCCACCUUUUACACCACCCUCAAUGUUUAUUAUCUAGAACUCUGUUAACAAACAGUUUUGUUUUCAUAUCAUUUUUUGGUAUUUUCAUUUUUUAUAUUUUUUUUUUAUAUUUUUUUACAGAGCUCUAGAUAAUAAAAAUAUCAGAUGUUUAAGGUUACAGGUAUUAACAAAGUCAUUCUAAUUCAGAAUAUUGCAAAAUUUUAAUGUUAGUUGAUUUUCUCAUUGUUGAAGUCCAUACAGUAACCUAUUUUACAUCAACAUCAUUUGGUCUCUGUAUGUAGGAUAGUAAUGUCUCACAUCUCUUCUUUUCAUAACAAAUCAAUUUGUAGGUUCUAUAAAGUGGGCCGAUGAUGAAGGUAAGGGAAAUUUUGACUGCCAACUGAGAGGAUAUGUUGGCCAGAAAUUAAGCCUUGCAACAGGCCACCUACUGACCCCUCAAAGACUUGUGGCAAGAAUUCUUUAACAUGCAGAGUGGCACUGUCCCUACACAUAGGAACUAUAUACUUUUUAAAUUGCCAUUCCAAUUUUUUGUUUGUUUUAAAAAUGAUAAUUUUAGAAGACUUUAAGGCGGG